AAAUUGAAGAGUUUGAUCAUGGCUCAGAUUGAACGCUGGCGGCAGGCCUAACACAUGCAAGUCGAACGGUAACAGGAAGAAGCUUGCUUCUUUGCUGACGAGUGGCGGACGGGUGAGUAAUGUCUGGGAAACUGCCUGAUGGAGGGGGAUAACUACUGGAAACGGUAGCUAAUACCGCAUAACGUCGCAAGACCAAAGAGGGGGACCUUCGGGCCUCUUGCCAUCGGAUGUGCCCAGAUGGGAUUAGCUAGUAGGUGGGGUAACGGCUCACCUAGGCGACGAUCCCUAGCUGGUCUGAGAGGAUGACCAGCCACACUGGAACUGAGACACGGUCCAGACUCCUACGGGAGGCAGCAGUGGGGAAUAUUGCACAAUGGGCGCAAGCCUGAUGCAGCCAUGCCGCGUGUAUGAAGAAGGCCUUAGGGUUGUAAAGUACUUUCAGCGGGGAGGAAGGGAGUAAAGUUAAUACCUUU
rnacentral:rRNA from 1 species